GAAAGCUGAAGAGCAGAAGCCGAAGGAGCAGAAGCCAAAGGCAAGCGAGAACAAGCCUGUGAUGACGGAAUGACAGUAAUUUGAGCAAAUGAGCGUACUGCAUUGGAACACUCGAUUAAACAAGGACUGUAUUGCUUAUCUUGGUCUAUAUUGCCACACUGGAUUCUGAUGUGUGUACCUCAUUUAUCUGAACCAGCAUAACUACUUAAAUAUCGCACUUUGGAAGUUGUGCAUUUAGCAUGUUGUUGCAAGGUUGUCCCGCAUCUUCAUGGAAUGGUAGUUUUUCAUGUUCUGUAAGUAGUUUACACUCCUAUAUCUCUUUGACUGUGACCCAGCUAGGAAGUUUAUUGCAGAAAGAGAGAGGUGGAGGAAGCCAUCACAAAGUAUAACCAGAAAGAAUGCGACAAAGCUGCCACCAGUAAUCCAUGUCUUAGUUCAAAAACUUAGAAAUUUUUACUUUCAAUGUUUAUCUUGAUCAGAGAAAAUUAUACGAAAUCUGACCUGAUGACGUACUGCAAUCUCAUUUUUAUGGAGAACAAAAAUUAGCCAUACUGACUCAGAGGGAAGGGCCAACCAGAGUUAACGAUAAAUUUCUGGAAGAUGUAACGCCGUCUAAAAGUAUUUAAAGUUUGCAUCGUUCUGGGCCUAACUUUGCCCUUGUCUAUGCUGGGCUAUUUCCAUUCUGACAAGUUUGUAGCGGUAUAAUGUCCCUACGGUGGCGUUUGAUAUUGGGUAACCUAUCAAAGAUCAAAGGUGAUAUGGGUAAACGUGAUAAGGUUAUUGUAUUGAUUGCAUUAUGAUAAUCAUAAGUGGCAGUGAUUUCAAAUUAUUUAUACUUUUCAAAUCAUCGCAAUCUAUUUUUUUUUAUCGUGAUAUUUUUUCACACGUAUAUGCGAUAUUAUUUAUCCAUGCCAGGUGAGUAGUUGGGACAUCUUUUUCACAAUAAAAUCUUUCCUUCAUCGUAACAUAUCUUUUUUUUCGUUGCGACAUUUUUUU
rnacentral:lncRNA from 1 species